AACGAACGCUGGCGGCAGGCCUAACACAUGCAAGUCGAGCGCGCCCUUCGGGGUGAGCGGCGGACGGGUGAGUAACGCGUGGGAACGUGCCCUUUUCUACGGAAUAGCCUCGGGAAACUGAGAGUAAUACCGUAUACGCCCUUUGGGGGAAAGAUUUAUCGGAAAAGGAUCGGCCCGCGUUGGAUUAGGUAGUUGGUGGGGUAAUGGCCUACCAAGCCGACGAUCCAUAGCUGGUUUGAGAGGAUGAUCAGCCACACUGGGACUGAGACACGGCCCAGACUCCUACGGGAGGCAGCAGUGGGUAAUCUUAGACAAUGGGGGCAACCCUGAUCUAGCCAUGCCGGGUGAGUGAUGAAGGCCUUAGGGUUGUAAAGCUCUUUCAGCUGGGAAGAUAAUGACGGUACCAGCAGAAGAAGCCCCGGCUAACUCCGUG
rnacentral:rRNA from 1 species